GACGAACGCUGGCGGCGUGCUUAACACAUGCAAGUCGAACGGAAAGGCCCUGCUUUUGUGGGGUGCUCGAGUGGCGAACGGGUGAGUAACACGUGAGUAACCUGCCCUUGACUUUGGGAUAACUUCAGGAAACUGGGGCUAAUACCGGAUAGGAGCUCCUGCUGCAUGGUGGGGGUUGGAAGGUUUCGGCGGUUGGGAUGGACUCGCGGCUUAUCAGCUUGUUGGUGGGGUAGUGGCUUACCAAGGCUUUGACGGGUAGCCGGCCUGAGAGGGUGACCGGCCACAUUGGGACUGAGAUACGGCCCAGACUCCUACGGGAGGCAGCAGUGGGGAAUAUUGCACAAUGGGCGGAAGCCUGAUGCAGCAACGCCGCGUGCGGGAUGACGGCCUUCGGGUUGUAAACCGCUUUCGCCUGUGACGAAGCGUGAGUGACGGUAAUGGGUAAAGAAGCACCGGCUAACUACGUG
rnacentral:rRNA from 1 species